GUGCUCCCUUUGGCAGCACAUAGACUAAAAUUGGAACGAUACAGAAAAGAUUAGCAUGGCCCCUGCACAAGGAUGACACGCCAAUUUGUGAAGUGUUCCAUAUUUUU